rnacentral:sRNA from 1 species
CUAUCCUCCAUUUCUUACUUCGUCAUUAUUUGUUCGUCUCUGUAUCGCUGAGAGUGCUGGGUACUAUCAAGUCCAGCUCGGAUGCUCCAGUAACCCUGGGAUAACUUGCUGAAGACUGGCAAAGCAGGAAGUAGUGACGUGUAACGACAAGACGCUAUCAACUUGAGUCACGAAUGGACAUAUAUAGCUAACAGGACAGAUUAUGACUGUUGGAAACGCAAAGCGGUCACAACCUUGACCUGACGCCCGAUGUUGGCCAGAAUUCACCGGACAUCUUGUCCGUUCCGUGCGACGAAAUACCACGCACAUCGUCCGCCUGAUGGAAUGCUGACUCGCUUAAUGUUACUUGGCCAUAGAGGAUUUUUCGCACGCCGUACCAACAUAACCGACUACGAGCGAAUCAAUUAAUAACUGACAGAAUGGACGGACCGUGUGUAAUAAGGAAGUGCAGCAGAGAAAAUCACCGACUUGCUGUCUCUUACCAACAUCCACCACAUAGAAUAUGGAGUAUGUAGCGAUCUUGCCUUAAGCUGAUCGUUUCUCAGUGCAAAUCAGAGCAGAAAAAAAGACAGAGAACAUAAAAGAUGGUAAGGGACACUUUUGUUCAACAAUUAGGGACUUGUUGUGUGCAGUAACUUGAUUGCAGGACGUGUACGUAUGUACAAACUGUCUCCGCAUAGGAAGAUAUGAAGAGGUCAUAGAACACCAGGUAUCAACCUAUUGGCAACAUGAACGUAACCACUAAUUCAUGGUCCUCAUAUUGUACAAAUACUUAUGGAUCCGCACUAUACAAUUUUGAUAACGGGGCUUAAAGAAUAGAAAGAAGCCCACCAAGGAGUGACUUUAGAAUAAGGCCGACGUCCUUGAGAAGGGAGUUGACGAGCUUAAGGACACCAACGACAAGGGUGUCGACACCCUUGAGGAUCAACGUGAGAGAGUCAUCAAUCUGGCAGAGAAGCUUGGAGACAGUGGUUUUGUGCGCAAUAUACGGAGGGAUGGGCUGGACAAUGUUCACGUUGACGGUCUGGAUAACGUUGGACAGGGCUUCGGCAACCUGUUUCUUGUCGGUGUCUCGACUUUCGAAAUGUCAGUGAAGGCUACUCGUAAAGGAAAGGACUACACAUACGCAAUGACGAUGUCACGACUGAAUAAAGAAACGCCAGCACUGACGCCAGCCGAAAGGUCAAUGCCGAGCUCGUUACCACACCAGUUGAACGCGUCGAUGACAACAUUGAGGCAAGCAGUAACUUCAGCCUCGGCAGAGUGGGGACCGAUAGAACCGGCGGCAGACUACCAUCUUUUAGCUGCAGCCCAAAUAGUAUAGCGAACAAACUUACAACCCUGGUUUGGAGCUCUGUGAUAACAGAAAGGACAUCCACAUCUUUCUUGGUCAAGUCUGAAGUAACAGGAGUCAAAGCAUUCUCUGCGAGAGGGGCUGCGAAAACCGACCCAAUGAAGGGAAGGGCGGCAACGAACAUGGAGGUGAAUCGCAUCUUGAUGGGGUUGUAGUUGCUUGAAUGAGUCGACAGUAAAUCAGAAGUUAAGGUGGACUUCAAUGGCUUUCAAUGAGAAAAAGAUAUUGGAUGAAGAAAGAACGAGGAAGAAGGGAAAGACGUGUCUGAGAGAGGUUUUUAUACCCGUCAAAAGGCCUCCAGGUCGAUAGGUGCAUGCGACGUUAUAGUGAGCCAAGAAAUUCGAAAGUCAGAAGUUGGAGGCCAUCCUUAUUCGCAUUGAAAAAGCUGAGCUAGGCAGCUCACGAAAGGUAUGCUGCAGAGGCCCGUGCAUUUCAUCAUUGCCUGUUAAUUCAAGAAACUGAACGGGCUGAGCAUCGGGCAUUUCUCUUGCUUCCUCCGGUGGCCCUUUAUACUAGGCCACAGCUUCUGGUCUGAAACCCAGGUCGGGGGCCUUCUGAUCCAUGUUUCUCAAACAGGCUGGUUGAGGAUAAACUGGCCGGCCGUGACGAUCACAAGUAAGCUCAGCAUGCCAUUGAAUGGGCUGCCGCCAUAUCGUGAAUGACGAGCCCUGUAUUCGGUCCCCUCUCAUGCAACAAAU